UGGGUCAUAUAUAGUUCAAUGCAAGCUGAGCAGACAGGGCUGCGAGGAAAUCUGGCGCGGUUCAAUACCUCGUCUAGCCUGGGUUCCAGUAUCUAAUUUUUUUUACUGACAAACUCAUUUCUCUACCGGGACAGGAUGCUGUGCUGGCUGGAAGUUCCAUUUCUACAACAAGAAUCCUAUCUGGAAACACAGAAGUUGUCCUCUAGCCACAGCAGCUCGAACUUUUUUGAUUGUUGUUGCUGCUUUCUCCCAUCACCCCUACCCCCUUUUGACAAAGAUCCAACUGUAAAAAGUCUUACGUAACAGUUCAGGACUACUUCGGUUCUUUUACUGGUAUAUCAAGAGGCCUCAAGAGGACUAUGAAAACAUUUACAUCUCUAAGCUGGAGCAAAGCGGGUUUCAAUAUUUUAUAUAUUGAAUAUUUAUAUACCUCUGGAAAAGGAAAGAAAGGAGGUAAGUAAAAUAAUAAGGGAUGGCAUGGUGAGUUUUGACAACUAAAUCAAGAAUUAAAUAGUUGGACUAAUUUAUUAAAUGUGUAGCUUCUAUAACUCUUGGUUAAUUUAACCCUUAACUUUUUUAACCCUUAAGAUUUUACCCUUGCAUUGAGUACAUAAACCUCUUAGCCAAACUCAUUUAAAAGACCCAAUGUGUGCUUCAAAUUUGCUUGAUGAUAAAAAUUUAAAUUAAGGACUUAAAGCAAAUCAAAGGAAUGAGGAUGAUGAUGGCCUUUAUUGCCCUGAAAUACAUCAUUCUAGAAACCUACCUUUCACUCUUCUCUAGUUUUUCAAGUCUAUGAAAAACAUUCUUCUGAGAAUGCCAUGAAUUUACGCAAUGGUAUUUUGUAAACAAGUAAUGGUUGGGGGUAGCAGAAGUCAGUAUUUUUUUUUAAGUCUGAAUAUUUAUCCAAAUGGUAUAAGACACUGACAUCUCUUCAUAUUAUCAGGCCAAGGGGAAGACCGUUUAACAUAAACCCAUUAAAGAGUUUCUAAAAUAUCACACAGUAACAGUUGCUUGAUUUUUUGUUGUCGUUUGUACACAAUUUACUGUCAUAACACUAAGAACUCAACAAAGCUGGCUAACUGGAGUGUUCUGACAGAGGGUGAAAUAAUUAAACUGAUGUAGAAUGCAAACAGUUAACAUUCAAACCAAAUUCUCAGUGGUUGAUUUUUUUAAUGUGUACCAUUCGGCUGCUUUAAAAAUGAAUCUGAGAACAGUCAAUCUUUAAUAUUUAAACCUAAAUCAAGUGGUAGUAACCACCCCUGAUUAACCUCAAUUCAGCCAGCAGUUUUGUAAGCCCUUAUUAUACUGAGCACUCCUGGAUCCUUCCUAUUAUAAAUCCUAUAUUUGAAAGUUCCACGUAAUUAAUUGAUUUUCCAGAUUUUUCAUCAAGGAGAUUCAACGGCCAAAAAAAAUAACCAGUGUGUCUACAAUGCACUGACACCCUUUCUGCCAAAAGCGAAAACACUUGACAUUUUAGUUUCUCUCUGUGCCAGAGAGUAUGCAGGAAGAGAAAUGCAUGCUUUCUCUUAGUGGGAUUUUUUUUGUUCAUUUUUUGCUUUUUCAAUAUGUAAAAUAACUUACAGACUACCAUCAAACCUCUGUGGUAACUUAGUGAUCCAGGAUCUUGGCUAGGGAGAUGACCAGUUAUGAAGGUCAGUUUUUUUCAUCUUCUACCAAACACUUCACCAACAGAGUUACCUCCUAUUAUUACAGGCAAACAAGAAGAGGAUGCUUACUUGUUUGACUUAAUUCUCACUGAAGACUUCACCCCAGAUACAUAACACAAAGAUUUCUUUUAGAUGCAAGACUUACCUAUAUCUGGCUGAAAAGCAGAUGGAAGAAUCCACAGUGGAAAAGGAAGAUGGACGAUUUUUAUCAAGAAAGGGGACCCGUAGAAAGCACAGCUGCAGGGAUAGUAAAAAACAGUCUCCAGGUCCAUGGUGAAAGUGGUCACUUUGGAGGGCAGACACAUCAGCCUCAGAGAAUGAAAACAAUGAAAGACUCCCAGCCUACUCUUGUUCUCUCAGGCUGUAUCUCAAUAGGAUUCAACUGGACCUUGUGGAUUCCCUGUCUUGGCAAGGGGCCUGAUGGAGUAGACAUUCAAUAAAUGUUUGUCAAAUGAAUUUCCUUAUGAUUUCUGGCACAAUUAUGUUUAUAACUUAGGAAGUGGUCUGCUCCUUGAAUCAAGCACAGGAUACCUUCAAGCCACCUGUGCCAUGAAUUACAGUUCUAAGCCGGGUAUAAUUUGAAAGCUAUCAGAUAUCUGGACAAACCUACCUUGAUUACACUUGCAACAGAACCUCUGAACUUACACUGUAGGCCAACUUCACCUCCUAUUCUUCAGACUAAACCUACUGAAAAUUCACGCAACCAAUCAAAAUCACA